rnacentral:rRNA from 1 species
UUUUUUUGGACAUUGGGAGUUGCUGGCUACUUGAUUAAAAGUGGUGGGCUCUUCUGAAAAGCAUUAGUUGGAGGAGCUUUGCACUCUUAUUGGUGUGAUAGACUAUCUAUGCCAUGAGAUGCUUUAUGAUCCUCUGCUGUCUAACUGUCUUUAUCAAGACAAUAUGAUAAACUUGACCUCAAAUCAGGUAGGACUACCCGCUGAACUUAAGCAUAUCAAUAAGCGGAGGAAAAGAAACUAACAAGGAUUCCCUUAGUAACUGCGAGUGAAGAGGGAAAAGCUCAAAUUUAAAAUCUGGCAGUGCUUCACUGUCCGAGUUGUAACCUAGAGAAGUGUAACCUGUGCUGGACCGUGUAUAAGUCUCCUGGAAUGGAGCGUCACAGAGGGUGAGAAUCCCGUCUUUGACAUGGACUACCAGUGCAUUGUGGUUGCGCUCUCAACGAGUCGAGUUGUUUGGGAAUGCAGCUCUAAAUGGGUGGUAAAUUCCAUCUAAAGCUAAAUAUUGGCGAGAGACCGAUAGCGAACAAGUACCGUGAGGGAAAGAUGAAAAGAACUUUGGAAAGAGAGUUAAACAGUAUGUGAAAUUGUUGAAAGGGAAACGUUUGAAGUCAGUCGCGUUGGUUGGGGAUCAGCCUGACAUUGUUGGGUGUACUUCCCGGUUGACGGGCCAACAUCAGUUUUGACUGCCAGAGAAAGGCCAAAGGAAUGUGGCACCUUUGGGUGUGUUAUAGCCUUUGGUUGUAUAUGGUGGUUGGGACUGAGGAAAGCAGCGUGCCGAAAGGCCGGGUUUUUAACCACGUUCACGCUGAGGA